rnacentral:rRNA from 1 species
AGCGAACGCUGGCGGCAGGCCUAACACAUGCAAGUCGAACGGAUCCUUCGGGAUUAGUGGCGGACGGGUGAGUAACACGUGGGAACGUGCCCUUUGGUUCGGAACAACUCAGGGAAACUUGAGCUAAUACCGGAUGUGCCCUUCGGGGGAAAGAUUUAUCGCCAUUGGAGCGGCCCGCGUCUGAUUAGCUAGUUGGUGAGGUAAAGGCUCACCAAGGCGACGAUCAGUAGCUGGUCUGAGAGGAUGAGCAGCCACAUUGGGACUGAGACACGGACCAAACUCCUACGGGAGGCAGCAGUGGGGAAUCUUGCGAAAUGGGCGAAAGCCUGACGCAGCCCUGCCGCGUGAAUGAUGAAGGUCUUAGGAUUGUAAAAUUCUUUCACCGGGGACGAUAAUGACGGUACCCGGAGAAGAAGCCCCGGUGAAAGAAUUUUACAAUCCUAAGACC